UACGGGGGGGGUAAGCGUUGUUCGGAAUUACUGGGCGUAAAGGGCGCGUAGGCGGCCUGUUAAGUCGAACGUGAAAUCCCCGGGCUCAACCCUGGGCCUGCAUUCGAUACGGGCAGACUAGAGUUCGGUAGGGGAGACUGGAAUUCCUGGUGUAGCGGUGAAAUGCGCAGAUAUCAGGAGGAACACCGGUGGCGAAGGCGGUUCUCUGGGCAUGUCCUGACGCUGAGGAGCGAAAGUGUGGGGAGCGAACAGG
rnacentral:rRNA from 1 species